GAUGAACGCUGGCGGCGUGCCUAAUACAUGCAAGUCGAGCGAAUGGAUUAAGAGCUUGCUCUUAUGAAGUUAGCGGCGGACGGGUGAGUAACACGUGGGUAACCUGCCCAUAAGACUGGGAUAACUCCGGGAAACCGGGGCUAAUACCGGAUAACAUUUUGAACCGCAUGGUUCGAAAUUGAAAGGCGGCUUCGGCUGUCACUUAUGGAUUGACCCGCGUCGCAUUAGCUAGUUGGUGAGGUAACGGCUCACCAAGGCAACGAUGCGUAGCCGACCUGAGAGGGUGAUCGGCCACACUGGGACUGAGACACGGCCCAGACUCCUACGGGAGGCAGCAGUAGGGAACCUUCCGCAAUGGACGAAAGUCUGACGGAGCAACGCCGCGUGAGUGAUGAAGGCUUUCGGGUCGUAAAACUCUGUUGUUAGGGAAGAACAAGUGCUAGUUGAAUAAGCUGGCACCUUGACGGUACCUAACCAGAAAGCCACGGCUAACUACGUACCAGCCGCCGCAGUAA
rnacentral:rRNA from 1 species